rnacentral:ncRNA from 1 species
UUCCCUCCGAAGUUUCCCUCAGGAUAGCUGGAGCCCAUUACGAGUUCUAUCGGGUAAAGCCAAUGAUUAGAGGCAUCGGGGGCGCAACGCCCUCGACCUAUUCUCAAACUUUAAAUAGGUAGGACGGCACGGCUGCUCCGGUGAGCCGUGCCAUGGAAUCGGGAGCUCCAAGUGGGCCAUUUUUGGUAAGCAGAACUGGCGAUGCGGGAUGAACCGGAAGCCGGGUUACGGUGCCAAACUGCGCGCUAACCUAGAACCCACAAAGGGUGUUGGUCGAUUAAGACAGCAGGACGGUGGUCAUGGAAGUCGAAAUCCGCUAAGGAGUGUGUAACAACUCACCUGCCGAAUCAACUAGCCCCGAAAAUGGAUGGCGCUGAAGCGCGCGACCCACACCCGGCCAUCUGGGCGAACGCCAUGCCCCGAUGAGUAGGAGGGCGCGGCGGCCGCUGCAAAACCCGGGGCGCGAGCCUGGGCGGAGCGGCCGUCGGUG